CUUUACUCUGGAGAGCGGCGCCCUGUGAGGCGCCCACCGAAGGGGCUAACGGCGGCCAACAGUGCCCGCCGGAAAAUCUCAGGUGUCAGGACAGAGGGGU
rnacentral:ncRNA from 1 species